GACGAACGCUGGCGGCGUGCUUAACACAUGCAAGUCGAACGGAAAGGCCCUGCUUUUGUGGGGUGCUCGAGUGGCGAACGGGUGAGUAACACGUGAGUAACCUGCCCUUGACUUUGGGAUAACUUCAGGAAACUGGGGCUAAUACCGGAUAGGAGCUCCUGCUGCAUGGUGGGGGUUGGAAAGUUUCGGCGGUUGGGGAUGGACUCGCGGCUUAUCAGCUUGUUGGUGGGGUAGUGGCUUACCAAGGCUUUGGCGGGUAGCCGGCCUGAGAGGGUGACCGGCCACAUUGGGCCUGAGGUACGGCCCAGACUCCUACGGGAGGCAGCAGUGGGAAAUAUUGCACAAUGGGCGGAAGCCUGAUGCAGCAACGCCGCGUGCGGGAUGACGGCCUUCGGGUUGUAAACCGCUUUCGCCUGUGACGAAGCGUGAGUGACGGUAAUGGGUAAAGAAGCACCGGCUAACUACGUG
rnacentral:rRNA from 1 species